rnacentral:rRNA from 1 species
UACGGGGGGGGCAAGCGUUGUUCGGAAUUACUGGGCGUAAAGGGCUCGUAGGUGGCCAACUAAGUCAUACGUGAAAUCCCUCGGCUUAACCGGGGAACUGCGUCUGAUACUGGAUGGCUUGAGGUUGGGAGAGGGAUGCGGAAUUCCAGGUGUAGCGGUGAAAUGCGCAGAUAUCAGGAAGAACACCCGUGGCUAAGGCGGUUCUCUAGUACGGUACUGACGCUGAGACGCGAAAGCGUGGGGAGCGAACAGG